rnacentral:lncRNA from 1 species
CUCAAAUAAUAAUAAUAAAAUAUUGAUAUCAUUUAAAUAAAAACCUAAUGCCUCAAUGGAUUAAAAUAAAGUUUUGACAAUUUCGGUGCAUUUCUAUAUGCAGCAGAUAUACAGCACUGUAAAACCAAUUGUUUCUAAAUUAAGCACUGUGCUACAGCAAACCAUUUCUAAACUACUAGCUGUAAGAUACCACUAUAGUAGAUGUAAAGCAUGUUUUCACCUCUUCAUGAGUAAAGCAAAAUGGCAGAAGAUAACCAUGUUCAGACUUACAAAACUAUAUAGAGUGGAAGAAAAAUCUGUACCCCUCCAAAUAACUUUAUAAUUAUUAGAUUUCAAAAAUGUGUUAAUGCCAACAAAUAGGAAGCUAUGGAUGGGCUAUCUGAUAGUGACCUUCAAAUGAGCUGAUUAUGUAAAUGAGGAUAAUUGCAAAUCCUACUCAUAAACUGUAAUAAAUAGGGAAAAAUUUCCAUUUACAAACUUGUUAAGCAUUC